CUACGGAGGGUGCGAGCGUUACUCGGAGUCACUGGGCGUAAAGCGUCCGUAGGCGGUCGGGUAAGUCGGGUGUGAAAGCCUCGGGCUCAACCUGGGACGUGCACCCGAUACUGCUCGACUCGAGUGCGGGAGAGGAUGGCGGAAUUCCCGGUGUAGCGGUGAAAUGCGUAGAGAUCGGGAGGAACACCAGUGGCGAAGGCGGCCAUCUGGCCCGCAACUGACGCUGAGGGACGAAAGCGUGGGGAGCAAACAGGAUUAGAUACCCCAGUAGUCC
rnacentral:rRNA from 1 species